UACGUAGGGGGCAAGCGUUGUCCGGAAUCAUUGGGCGUAAAGAGCGUGUAGGCGGUCCGGUAAGUCCGCUGUGAAAGUCGGGGGCUCAACCCUCGAAUGCCGGUGGAUACUGUCGGGCUAGAGUGCGGAAGAGGCGAGUGGAAUUCCUGGUGUAGCGGUGAAAUGCGCAGAUAUCAGGAAGAACACCAAUGGCGAAGGCAGCUCUCUGGGACGGUACUGACGCUGAGACGCGAAAGCGUGGGGAGCGAACAGG
rnacentral:rRNA from 1 species